rnacentral:rRNA from 1 species
GCGAGUCGAAUGUAGCAAUACAUGGCGAACUGCUCAGUAACACGUGGACAACCUGCCCUUAGGACGGGGAUAAACCCGGGAAACUGGGUAUAAUACCCGAUAGGUCUCGAUUGCUGGAAUGCAUCGAGAUUUAAAGCUCCGGCGCCUAAGGAUGGGUCUGCGGCCUAUCAGGUAGUAGUGGGUGUAGCGUACCUACUAGCCUACGACGGGUACGGGUUGUGAGAGCAAGAGCCCGGAGAUGGAUUCUGAGACACGAAUCCAGGCCCUACGGGGUGCAGCAGGCGCGAAAACUUUACAAUGCUGGCAACAGCGAUAAGGGAACCUCGAGUGCCAGGUUACAAAUCUGGCUGUCGAGAUGCCUAAAAAGCAUUUCAUAGCAAGGGCCGGGCAAGACCGGUGCCAGCCGCCGCGGUAACACCGGCGGCUCGAGUGGUAACCGUUAUUAUUGGGUCUAAAGGGUCUGUAGCCGGCCGGAUAAGUCUCUUGAGAAAUCUGGCAGCUUAACUGUCAGGCUUUCAGGAGAUACUGUCUGGCUCGAGGCCGGGAGAGGUGAGAGGUACUUCAGGGGUAGGGGUGAAAUCUUGUAAUCCUUGAAGGACCACCAGUGGCGAAGGCGUCUCACCAGAACGGACCUGACGGCAAGGGACGAAAGCUAGGGGCACGAACCGGAUUAGAUACCCGGGUAGUCCUAGCCGUAAACGAUACUCGCUAGGUGUCGGCCACGGUGCGACCGUUGUCGGUGCCGUAGGGAAGCCGUGAAGCGAGCCACCUGGGAAGUACGGCCGCAAGGCUGAAACUUAAAGGAAUUGGCGGGGGAGCACCACAACGGGUGGAGCUUGCGG